AUGUGGGGACCGAGAUCUGAAAAACUUCAAGGCCAAUGUCGGCGUCUGGUGUCCCUGAAAGGCUGUCAUAAUACUCUGCUGGCAGUAAGUCAAACACUUUUUGACGGCUUCCAUGCGCCAGAUACCGCCCCGGUCUUGGGAAAUGCUCUGACAGUAAGACAGACAAAACCAGGGUCACCACUGCUGCCAGCACAGAAGACACAGCACUGAGGGGAGCAGAGAGAAUUCUGAGAAGGGAGAAGUAACAGGGAGGUGGGCCGAGAGCAAGCAGGAUCAUGUAGGCCGUUGUAAUUAUUUUGAUUUUACUCAGAGUGAAAAUUUGGAGCCAUAGAGGAUGUAGAGCAGAGGACUGAAAAGAUCUCACUUAUAUUUUGACAAUACCCCCACAGUCAAUACGCUGAAAAAAUUCUACGGGUACAUAACGGGGAAAGGAGGAGAAUUAGGGUAGAGAAGAUGGUGAUAUCUUGUCCAGUGGUGGUGGUGCUGGACACCGCAGGAAGUGUGGAUUCUACAUACAUUUUGAAGGUUGAGGGAAAGAAUUUGGAUUUGGAGGGGUGAAGGAAAGGAGGGGUAAAAGUGAUUUCAAGAUUUCAGCCUAGAUAAUAUGCAAGGAUAGGCCUCACCAUCCCCUAAAAUGAGAAAGACUGUCAGAGCAUUUGACAGGAAGGAGAUCGAGACCCCCGAUGUGCAAUGUUUUCUGUGGUAGUAUAUUUGAUAUACAUAUCGAUGAUAGAUUAUAUAAAUCUGAACGUGUGUUACAGACAGAAAAACCAUUAAAAACUAAAGCUCAGAGGUGGGGAGGAAACUAACAUAUCAGGGACUGAAAGUAGUUUAGAAUGAGCUGAAGUUUAAGAUGUAUAUUGAGGAACAGCAGGAGAUAAAGCUGGAGAUGUAAUCAGAGGUCUAAUCACAGAAGUCUUUAUAGAUCAUGCUAUGGAGUUAGGACUUUAUCUUUUAAGGAUGGAAGAAGUGCUGAAAGGUUUUCUUAGCCUGAUAUCCUUUAAUAAAAUAAUCUCCCAACAUCUCCCCUUAUGACUCAAUCUACUUGGCUAGAAUUGCUGCCCCCCAUAGAUAACUUUGAGGUCUCUGUUAAACUGGAGAACACUUUAGAACCACAUUAGCCACCCAAGCCAGAAAAGCUUAUCUUUUGAACCACUACUCACAUGGAUGCACAGAUCUUGCUGUUUGAUUCAUUUUAUUUUGGAACCAAAUGAAU
rnacentral:lncRNA from 1 species